UCGAGGGUCGUCCAAUGGUCAGGACCGCGGACUUUGACUCCGCUGAUGGGGGUUCGAAUCCCUCCCCUCGAG
rnacentral:tRNA from 1 species